UACGGAGGGUGCAAGCGUUAUCCGGAUUCACUGGGUUUAAAGGGUGCGUAGGAGGGCAGGUAAGUCAGUGGUGAAAUCUCCGAGCUUAACUUGGAAACUGCCGUUGAUACUAUCUGUCUUGAAUAUUGUGGAGGUGAGCGGAAUAUGCCAUGUAGCGGUGAAAUGCUUAGAUAUGACAUAGAACACCAAUUGCGAAGGCAGCUGGCUACACAAUUAUUGACACUGAGGCUCGAAAGCGUGGGGAUCAAACAGG
rnacentral:rRNA from 1 species